GACGAACGCUGGCGGCGUGCUUAACACAUGCAAGUCGAACGGAAAGGCCCUGCUUUUGUGGGGUGCUCGAGUGGCGAACGGGUGAGUAACACGUGAGUAACCUGCCCUUGACUUUGGGAUAACUUCAGGAAACUGGGGCUAAUACCGGAUAGGAGCUCCUGCUGCAUGGUGGGGGUUGGAAAGUUUCGGCGGUUGGGGAUGGACUCGCGGCUUAUCAGCUUGUUGGUGGGGUAGUGGCUUACCAAGGCUUUGACGGGUAGCCGGCCUGAGGGGGUGACCGGCCACAUUGGGACUGAGAUAGGGCCCAGACUCCUACGGGAGGCAGCAGUGGGGAAUAUUGCACAAUGGGCGGAAGCCUGAUGCAGCAACGCCGCGUGCGGGAUGACGGCCUUCGGGUUGUAAACCGCUUUCGCCUGUGACGAAGCGUGAGUGACGGUAAUGGGUAAAGAAGCACCGGCUAACUACGUG
rnacentral:rRNA from 1 species